GUAUAAUGUUAUAGGCACAAAGGCCAAUUUUAUUACAUUCUAUAACAUACAUUAGGGUAUAUGAAUAAACAUAAACCUAGAAAUAUAAGGAAAGACAAAAAAGUCAAUCCUAAAACCUUAAUGCUAGCAUUAAGAAAUUUAUCCAGGUCUACAAAAGGUGCACAGGUGGAAAUAUAAAGAUAACAGAUGUGCACAUAUUCAUUAGAACCAGCAGCAACCCAUUAGAUUUAUUUCAAUAAUGAUCCUUCCGCAGGUUCACCUACGGAAA
rnacentral:misc_RNA from 1 species